rnacentral:rRNA from 1 species
GCUCGAGUGGCGAACGGGCGAGUAACACGUGAGUAACCUGCCCUUGACUUUGGGAUAACUUCAGGAAACUGGGGCUAAUACCGGAUAGGAGCUCCUGCUGCAUGGUGGGGGUUGGAAAGUUUAGGCGGUUGGGAAUGGACUCGCGGCUUAUCAGCUUGUUGGUGGGGUAGUGGCUUACCAAGGCUUUGACGGGUAGCCGGCCUGAGAGGGUGACCGGCCACAUUGGGACUGAGAUACGGCCCAG